GUGAAUCAUCGAAUCUUUGAACGCACAUUGCGCCCCUUGGUAUUCCGAGGGGCAUGCCUGUUCGAGCGUCAUUUCAACCCUCAAGCACUGCUUGGUCUUGGGCUCCGCCGCUAACCCGGCGGGCCUUAAAACGAGUGGCGGCGCCAUCAGGCUCUGAGCGUAGUAGAUUUCCUCGCUACGGAGUCCUGGUGACGGUGGCCAUCAACCCCCAACUUUCUCAGUUUGACCUCGGAUCAGGUAGGGAUACCCGCUGAACUUAAGCAUAUCAAUAAGCGGAGGA
rnacentral:misc_RNA from 1 species